rnacentral:tRNA from 1 species
AAAGAUUUAGUUAAUUUAUAAUAAUAAUUUGUCAAGUUAUAGUAAUCAAUUUGAUAUUCUUUA